GACGAACGCUGGCGGCGUGCUUAACACAUGCAAGUCGAACGGAAAGGCCCUGCUUUUGUGGGGUGCUCGAGUGGCGAACGGGUGAGUAACACGUGAGUAACCUGCCCUUGACUUUGGGAUAACUUCAGGAAACUGGGGCUAAUACCGGAUAGGAGCUCCUGCUGCAUGGUGGGGGUUGGAAAGUUUCGGCGGUUGGGGAUGGACUCGCGGCUUAUCAGCUUGUUGGUGGGGUAGUGGCUUACCAAGGCUUUGACGGGUAGCCGGCCUGAGAGGGUGACCGGCCACAUUGGGACUGAGAUACAGCCCAGACGCCUACGGGAGGCAGCAGUGGCGAAUAUUGCACAAUGGGCGGAAGCCUGAAGCGGCAACGCCGCGGUCGGGAUGACGGCCUUCGGGUUGUAAACCGCUUUCGCCUGUGACGAAGCGUGAGUGACGGGAAUGGGGAAGUAAGCGCCGGCUAACUACGUG
rnacentral:rRNA from 1 species